AUUGAACGCUGGCGGCAGGCCUAACACAUGCAAGUCGAACGGUAACAGGAAACAGCUUGCUGUUUCGCUGACGAGUGGCGGACGGGUGAGUAAUGUCUGAGAAACUGCCUGAUGGAGGGGGAUAACUACUGGAAACGGUAGCUAAUACCGCAUAACGUCGCAAGACCAAAGAGGGGGACCUUCGGGCCUCUUGCCAUCGGAUGUGCCCAGAUGGGAUUAGCUAGUAGGUGGGGUAACGGCUCACCUAGGCGACGAUCCCUAGCUGGUCUGAGAGGAUGACCAGCCACACUGGAACUGAGACACGGUCCAGACUCCUACGGGAGGCAGCAGUGGGGAAUAUUGCACAAUGGGCGCAAGCCUGAUGCAGCCAUGCCGCGUGUAUGAAGAAGGCCUUCGGGUUGUAAAGUACUUUCAGCGGGGAGGAAGGGAGUAAAGUUAAUACCUUUGCUCAUUGACGUUACCCGCAGAAGAAGCACCGGCUAACUCCGUG
rnacentral:rRNA from 1 species